UUUAUGAAGAGUUUGAUCCUGGCUCAGCGCGAACGCUGGCGGCGUGCCUAACACAUGCAAGUCGUGCGGAGGGGUGAUGAGCCCCUCAGCGGCAAACGGGUGAGUAACACGUGAGUAACCUACCCUUGGGAAGGAGAUAACCCUCCGAAAGGAGGGCUAAUACCCUAUACUGCCGGGGACCACUAAGGUCUCCCGGUGAAAGGUGGCCUCUGCUCUGCAUGCUACCGCCCAAGGAGGGGCUCGCGGCCCAUCAGGUAGUUGGUGGGGUAACGGCCUACCAAGCCUAUGACGGGUAGCCGGCCUGAGAGGGUGGUCGGCCACAGUGGGACUGAGACACGGCCCACACCCCUACGGGGGGCAGCAGUGGGGAAUCGUGGGCAAUGGGCGAAAGCCUGACCCCGCGACGCCGCGUGGAGGAAGAAGCCCUUCGGGGUGUAAACUCCUGUCGGGGGGGACGAUGUGUCUUGGAAUGAAUAAUUCCAGGGCAUGACGGUACCCCCAGAGGAAGGGACGGCUAACUACGUGCCAGCAGCCGCGGUAAUACGUAGGUCCCGAGCGUUGCGCGAAUUCACUGGGCGUAAAGCGUCCGCAGCCGGACGG
rnacentral:rRNA from 1 species